rnacentral:snRNA from 1 species
AGAGAUUCAUUGCAUUUGGACC